rnacentral:rRNA from 1 species
UACGUAGGUGACUAGCGUUGUCCGGAUUUACUGGGCGUAAAGAGCGCGCAGGCGGUCGUUCAAGUCGAGUGUGAAAGCCCCCGGCUCAACUGGGGAGGGUCAUUCGAUACUGAUCGACUCGAAGGCAGGAGAGGGAAGCGGAAUUCCCGGUGUAGCGGUGAAAUGCGCAGAUAUCAGGAGGAACACCGAUGGCGAAGGCAGGUCUCUGGGCUGAUACUGACGCUCAUGCACGAAAGCGUGGGGAGCAAACAGG